rnacentral:rRNA from 1 species
UACGGAGGGUGCGAGCGUUAAUCGGAAUUACUGGGCGUAAAGCGCGCGUAGGCGGUUUGUUAAGUCAGCUGUGAAAGCCCCGGGCUCAACCUGGGAACUGCAGUUGAUACUGGCCGACUAGAGUACGAGAGAGGGAGGUAGAAUUCCAUGUGUAGCGGUGAAAUGCGUAGAUAUAUGGAGGAAUACCGGUGGCGAAGGCGGCCUCCUGGCUCGAUACUGACGCUGAGGUGCGAAAGCGUGGGGAUCAAAC